GAUGAACGCUGGCGGCGUGCUUAACACAUGCAAGUCGAACGGGAAAUCUUUCAUUGAGUCUUCGGUGGAUUUGAUUUAUUUCUAGUGGCGGACGGGGGAGUAACGCGUGGGUAACCUGCCUUAUACAGGGGGAUAACAGUCAGAAAUGGCUGCUAAUACCGCAUAAGCGCACAGAGCUGCAUGGCUCAGUGUGAAAAACUCGGGUGGUAUAAGAUGGACCCGCGUUGGAUUAGCUAGUUGGUGGGGUAACGGCCAACCAAGGCGACGAUCCAUAGCCGGCCGGGGAGGGUGAACGGCCACAUUGGGAAUAAGACACGGACCAGACUCCUACGGAAGGCAGCAGUGGGGAAUAUUGCACAAUGGGGGAAACCCUGAUGCAGCGACGCCGCGUGAAGGAAGAAGUAUCUCGGUAUGUAAACUUCUAUCAGAAGGGAAGAUAGUGACGGUACCUGACAAAGAAGCCCCGGCUAACUACGUG
rnacentral:rRNA from 1 species